GUCUCAAUAGGAUUUGGAUGUGGAUUUGUUAAAUAUAAAAUUAUAUAAACACCGUUUUCUAACAGCUUAAGCUUUUAAAGUAAAACGGUUAUUUCACAUAAUAUCAGAGCAAGAGGUUCUGAGUUCAAGUUAUGCCAGGCCCCUAGCAUAAUUAAUUUUCUCCAAUUUAAUUCAAGUCCACGUCAUGGGCCUUGCAAAAAAUUUUGAGCCCGGAUAUGAGGGGCAGAUUUUUAUCCUACAUCUAGCGAC
rnacentral:lncRNA from 1 species